UAUAUGUAUGUAGGUGCGUGUGA
rnacentral:siRNA from 1 species